rnacentral:rRNA from 1 species
CCCUUAGAUGUUCUGGGCCGCACGCGCGCUACACUGAUGCAUUCAACGAGCCUAUCCUUGACCGACAGGUCCGGGUAAUCUUUGAAUCUGCAUCGUGACGGGGCUAGAUUAUUGCAAUUAUUAAUCUUCAACGAGGAAUGCCUAGUAGGCGCAAGUCAUCAGCUUGCGUCGAUUACGUCCCUGCCCUUUGUACACACCGCCCGUCGCUCCUACCGAUUGGGUGUGCUGGUGAAAUGUUCGGAUCGGCCGUUUGUCGCGGUUUCCGCGGCUCGUGGCUGAGAAGUUCAUUAAACCCUCCCACCUAGAGGAAGGAGAAGUCGUAACA